rnacentral:lncRNA from 1 species
UGGAUUCAAGCAAUUCUCCUGCCUCAGCCUCCUGAGUAGCUGGGAUUACAGGCCUUGAGGAGCUGGUUCUCUCAGAGAUGAACUCACCAAGCCGGACCCAGACAGGGGACAGCAGUAGCAUCUCCUCCUUCAGCUACCGGGAGAUCUUGCGGGAAAAGGAGAGCUCGGCUGUUCCAGCCAGGGUAAGGGGAAAGGAAGAACCUACAGCUCCAGCUUCUCUCAACCCAAAAAUCUGAGAACCCCUCCCCUUUUCUCCUCACCUAAACCCAUCUCCUACUUUGGGCGCAGCACACAUAUUUUCUUGUCAACUUUUCCCCAAGCCCACCAACUUGGAUUCAGAUUGCGACAUGCAGGACAGGCCAGUCAUUCUCUCUCUCUGACUUUCUGUUUAAUCAUCUGUGGGCUAAUUCCCCCUUCUCUGGUGCCAUAAAUUAUGUGGCUCAUAGUAGGUGCACCAUCCAAGGAGAAGGUCCCUUUUUCCAACUUGUAAUGAUCACUAAUUAUUAUUGCCGGCUGUCAUGUCAGCCUCCUUACCAGCCACUUUCCUUUGGAAAUAACUUUUUUAUUGUUCCACAAAUAGUAUGUGCUCAUUGUAGUACAUUUUUUAAAAACCACAAAUGAGCAAAGAUUUUUUUAAAACCUUAAAUGUCUGG